rnacentral:rRNA from 1 species
GGGGAAUCUUGCGCAAUGGGCGCAAGCCUGAUCCAGCAAUGCCGCGUGAGUGAUGAAGGCCUUAGGGUUGUAAAGCUCUUUUACCCGGGAUGAUAAUGACAGUACCGGGAGAAUAAGCUCCGGCUAACUCCGUGCCAGCAGCCGCGGUAAUACGGAGGGGGCUAGCGUUGUUCGGAAUUACUGGGCGUAAAGCGCACGUAGGCGGCUUUGUAAGUUAGAGGUGAAAGCCCGGAGCUCAACUCCGGAAUUGCCUUUAAGACUGCAUCGCUCGAAUCAUGGAGAGGUGAGUGGAAUUCCGAGUGUAGCGGUGAAAUUCGUAGAUAUUCGGAGGAACACCAGUGGCGAAGGCGGCUUACUGGUCCAUUACUGACGCUGAGGUGCGAAAGCGUGGGGAGCAAA